rnacentral:lncRNA from 1 species
UUUUUUUUUUUUCCUGUCUUUUGUCUUUUUGCCAUUUCUUGGGCCGCUCCCGCAGCAUAUGGAGGUUCCCAGGCUAGGGGUCGAAACGGAGCUGUGGCCCCUGGCCUACGCCAGAGCCACAGCAACGCAGGAUCCGAGCUGCGUCUGCAACCUACACCACAGCUCACGGCAACGCCGGAUCCUUAACCCACUGAGCAAGGGCAGGUAUCGAACCCGCAACCUCAUGGUUCCUAGUCGGAUUCGUUAACCACUGCACCACGAUGGGAACUCUUAUUUGGUGAUUUUUCUAGAAAUACUUGUGUUAUCAAUUUCCAAGUUACAUUAUUAUCAAAACAUCUUCUAAAUAAUUUAUCCCUUUGAAGUAUUGAGACUUGCUUUAUGGCUGAGCAUAUGGUCUAUUUUGUAAACUACCCCUGUGUAGUUGGAGAAGAUUUAUUCUGCAAUUGUUGGAUAUAGUGUUUUAUAAAUAUUAAUGAUGUCAAGUUGGAUAAAAAUGUUGUUCAAACAGUCUUCUGUUUACUCAUUUUUUCCUGCUUGUUCUAUCAAUUACUGAGAGAGAUUUACCAGUCUCCUACUAGGAUUACAGAUUUUUCUAUUCAUCCUUUUAGUUCUGCCAACUUCUGCUUCAUCUAUUAUGAGGUUUUGUUUUUAGGUGUACACAUAUUUAGGACCGUUUUCCUAAUGAGAUCACUAUUUGAUUAUUAUGAGUGUCUUUAUUUUUGGUAAUAUUCAUUGACUAGGGGGUGUUUUUUCCAUAACAGUAAUAUUUUACUUUUCUAAUUGCAAUAGUAAUACUGUAUUUCUCAUCAUUGGUAUUUGCACAAGUAUUUUUCCAUCCUUUUACUUUAAACCUAUCUGAUCUUAUUUUUAAAGUACAUCCUUGCAAACAGCAUACGGUUGAGUCUUAUUUUCUUGAUCCAGGCUGAGACUGUAAGAAAUUCAUUUAAUAUCUGGUAUAUUCAAUUUUAAAAUAAACUUUUGGAAUAACUUUAGAUUUACAGAAAAGUUGCAAAAAUACAACAGGAGAAUCCUAAAUACUUCUUACUAGUUUUCUCUAUGUUAAUACUUUAUAUAAGCGUAGUACAUUUAUCAAAACUAAAAAAACAUUGUCACUUUACCAUUACAUAAAAUCCAGACAUUAUUUGGAUGUCACCAGUUUUUCCAUUAAGGUCAUUUUUCUGUUCCAAGAUCCAAUCCAGGAUUCCACGUGGCAUUUUUUAUUCCAUCUAUUAUUUCACCAUUUACUUUUAAUGCAAUUGCUUUGUUCCCCUCCUCCCCCUUUUUUUUUCUUUUCAAAUUUUCUGGGGCUGCUCCUGUGGCAUAUAGAGGUUCCCAGGCAAGGGAUCCCANAAAAAAAAAAAAAAAAAAAAAAAAAAAAAAAAAAAAAAAAAGCAGUCAAAAUAGGAGAAAAGCAUUGGAGAAGGGUAUCAGGAAGUUAAUAAUGUUACUCUGAAUUUUAUGUUUGUGACAUCUGUAAAGUAUUAUAAUUUCUUUUUUCCUUCCAAACAAAUGUUCACUUUCAUAUCCAAUUUUGUGUUUGCAAUUUUGCUUUUCUUCUUAAAGAUCACCCCUCCCAAAUUGUACAAACUUCUCGUUAGAUCUACCCUACUUUUGAUAGAUGUCUAAUUUUGUUUCUACCAUAAUAAUUUUUAAUGCCCUCCCUCCACCCAAACACAGAGAAAAAGACAGACAGAAUUGUGUGUGUGUGGUUUCUUUUGUUUUCUAAUUCUUGUUACAUAAACUAUUGUUAUUUUCUUUCAUCUUUCUCCAGUGAUCUUUAGAGCAUAUAUAUUAUUUUAGAUUCCACUACUGGUUAUCAUUUACUUUUAAAAAAAUUUUAUAUUUGAAUCUAUAUUUUUUAAAUUAGCUAAGACCCAAAUAAACAGUUUAUUUGGACUACCCUUACGUAUGAUUAGGAAUUCAGCACAUUUUCCCCCCUUACAAUGGACGUCUCUUGGUCCUGCCUCACACCCUCUGGACACGCUUUCACUCUAGCCACUGCUAUGACAGCCAGCUCCACACAGGUGAAGCUGACAGCAUGUCACCUCAGGUUCAUCACACUUUUUUUUUUCUGCCCUAGGACUUCUCUAAUACUAUGCUAUUGCAUAGAAGCCCUUGGGGAACCCUCUACAUAAUCAUGAACACACAUCUGCAAUGUCCCACAAGUCGGCCUCUGAUGAAUGGCAAUUGGAAAAAAAAUCAAUGGACAAAUGCUCUCCUGCCCUUUUUGGGGGCAGGCAACUUUGAGGCACAUGACCUACAGCUUCUCAAAAGACUCCACUGAAAAUAAGAUCCAUUCACCCACAGUCACGCCCAAUACUACACCGUACCUUUGCAAUGGCUUUUCCUUCUCUGUUUUAUUCUCUCUUGUUCCACUGCUUCCUUCAAUCACUUUGCAAAUAAGACACAUAUACACAAAACUUUGACUCUACUUCUGGGGGUAAACCAUACUAAAUCACGCCUCUUCCAUCCCUCCCUAAACUUCCUAAGCUUAGUUGACCUAAUUUGAGGUCUUAGAGUCAUCAUUAUUACAGAAAAGGAAUCCCACUUACCAGAUCACUUCCUGGUCAUGUAACAAUAGGCUCAUAUUCACAUCUACAGCCACUCUAGUCACACCUCACCCAAAAGGAGGCUUUGCUUUGCUGUGCAUUCAUAAGAAGGUCCACCACUGCUCAGAAGCAAAGUCCAACUGCAGAUUUUACCUGACUCUUGGAAGGUAACAGAGAUGUAUACACCUGCUAGAACCUAAAUUUCCAGCACAAUGGAUCAUUUGAAAGUCAAUCCACCUCAUUCAGAACUUCAGAGGGGUGGCCCAGCCUCCUCUUUUGGAGACAGAGAAAUGGAAACUAGGUAACUCACACAAUUGCAGAUAAAACCCACUUCAGCUCCUGCAUUAAUUGGGAGUCUUUGAUGGCAAGUGAAUGAAAUCCAACUCCACCUAGAAGGUGAUAAUGAAGCUGUCAUCUGACAUGGAAAACCCAGAGAUCAAAGUAUUCUUCAGUGAAUCUCUUUUCCUAUCACUUUUUCAUCUCUCUCUCUCCUCCCCAGCAGACAUCUUCCAGAGGAGUCAGCACUACAGCAUGGUCUGUAAGCUCUCCCUGCCUGCUCCUCUCCCUCCCUAGUACAUCUCUUGCCCACUUAAUCCUGUGUUGAUGUCCGCUUCUCAAUAGACUCAAACUAACUCAAUCAAGACUUGCAGAAGCAACCCCAGGUAAGAAUUUCUGAAUAAAUAAUUAAGGUGCUUUCAGGAGAAACCAGUAUAGGAGAGAAACAGGACAGGAAAGCGAAAGAAACCAAAUGAUAGGUCAAUUUCAAUCAAAAUUUCUGCCCAACCCUUCAGGGAAGCAGGGCUCACCAAGGCAAGAAGUCACCCAUCAUUCUAUUUCUAACCUUAAAUUAUGUUCAUCUAUGAUGCUCCAAUCAAGAUCACCAAACAGAAUUUUAUCAAGAACACUAGAUGAUGGUAAUGAAAUAAAAUAAUAAUACUGCAUAUAUAACCUAAUAUUAUAUUUGUGCCUAGCAAAUAGUAGGCACUCAACAAAUAAGUAAUGAAUUGUACCAUAUUUACAAUAUAAAACGCUUGAAAACUGCCAUCACCCUACUUAAAAAGGCAGCACCCACAGAUUGUUUUCACGUAAUUCCUCUUUUCCCCACAAAAUAUAAGUCCCAAAACUUACACAAAGUGCCAGCUCUCUUCCAUUCUUCUUUUCAGUCCCAUUUCUCUCCUAAGCCAAGAAUCUCACUCUUGUUGCUCAACUUUGUCUCUCACACAUCAGUUCCCUGUUAAUAUAAUUCUUUCAAUCCACUUAAACUACCUACAGAGAGAAAGGGACCUACAGAUAGGGCCCAGAACUGGAACCACCAAAAGCCGCAACCCAACAUUCUAACACGGCUGACUGGGGAGCCUGGAAAAGGAUGUUUCCUUGGCCUGGGCCAGAGGAUAAAGACCACAACAAAAGCAGACCAAGCUGCCCCUUGGUCGUCUUCUAGAUCUCACCACUCCAAUGGAAACUUGAAUCCAGUGGACACACCAGAAGAGGAAGAAAGAUGUGCUUAGAAUCCAUUUAAACAUCCUUCCUAGAAUUUCCCAUGGAGGGUGUUUCCUAACAGCAAGGCAUUCCCUGGCCCCUUUUACCUCGCUA